CUCUCAUUCACUUCCACUGAAAACUGAGUCAGGAUGGUGUUUCCAAUGUUUGUGGUUCUUUUGUUAGGCUUUCUGAGUCAGGAGUCAUUUGCCAAUAAUUUUCUGACUCAGACUGAUAAAGCCAAGUCUGUCAGUCUUGGUGGGACUGUGACCAUCAGCGCCACAGGGAGUUCAAACAUUGGUGCUGAUCUCAGUUGGUACCUUCAGACAAAUGGAGAGACCCCCAAACUGCUUAUAUUCUCAACAUCAAGUCUCUUCUCAGGAACUCCGUCUCGAUUCAGUGGCAGCAGAUCUGGUUCUCAGUACACUUUAACCAUCAGUGGUGUUCAGGCUGAAGAUGCUGGAGAUUAUUACUGUCUGGGUGCCCAUGGUGGUGGAGUGUUCACACAGUGAUUUAGAGCUGUACAAAAACCUCCUUCAGUCUGGCUGAAGGCUGCAGGUGCAGAGUGACAGACUACAAUGAAAAAAACUGGUCCAUCAAACACAAACACAAUGUAUCUAAACAAAACUGAAGAACUACAUUGCUGGGAUCAUAAAAAGUUUAAUUAAAUAUUCAUAA